AACGAACGCUGGCGGCAUGCCUAACACAUGCAAGUCGAACGAUCCCUUCGGGGCUAGUGGCGCACGGGUGCGUAACGCGUGGGAACCUGCCCUUAGGUUCGGAAUACCUCAGAGAAAUUUGAGCUAAUACCGGAUAAUGUCUUCGAACCAAAGAUUUAUCGCCGUUGGAUGGGCCCGCGUGGGAUUAGCUGGUUGGUGGGGUAAAGGCCUACCAAGGCGACGAUCCAUAGCUGGUCUGAGAGGAUGAUCAGCCACACUGGGACUGAGACACGGCCCAGACUCCUACGGGAGGCAGCAGUGGGGAAUAGUGGACAAUGGGCGAAAGCCUGAUCCAGCAAUGCCGCGUGAGUGAUGAAGGCCUUAGGGUUGUAAAGCUCUUUUACCCGGGAUGAUAAUGACAGUACCGGGAGAAUAAGCCCCGGCUAACUCCGUG
rnacentral:rRNA from 1 species